rnacentral:misc_RNA from 1 species
AAAGUCGUAACAAGGUUUCCGUAGGUGAACCUGCGGAAGGAUCAUUACUGAGUUAGGGUCUUAUCGGCCCGACCUCCAACCCUUUGUUUACUAUACCAUGUUGCUUUGGCGAGCCCGCCUUUCGGGGCCGCCGGGGGCUUUCAUACCCUUGGUCAGUGCCUGCCAAUAGCCUUAUUAAAUUCUUUUUAUAAUUAUGUUGUCUGAGUAUAAAUAUAAAUCGUUAAAACUUUCAACAACGGAUCUCUUGGUUCUG